rnacentral:lncRNA from 1 species
UUUUUUUUUUUUUUUAAUAAAUUUUACUGGAAUAUAGUUGACUUAGAUAAUUGUGUUAGUUUCAGGUAUCCAGCAAAGUAAAUCAGUAAAUCUGCCCAUUCACAAUAAAAAUUAGGAAAGGCUUGCCCUGCAGCUCUCUAUUGGUACCCUCUUUAAGUCACACUGUUUCAUAAUGAUAUUUAUAAGUGUACUAUCCUUUUCUAAAGUACAAGCUACUUGAAGGCAAGAGCUGUGCUUUACUUACUUUUAUAUACAUUAAAAUAAGUAAAAUAAUAGAUGAUUAAAACAUUAUGAAUUAAUUUAUCUUAUUCGAUUCUCCUAAUAAUACUAUAAAACUACAAUCUUUAUCUUUCACAACUGUAAAUGAGGUAAAAUAAAGUGGUGAUAUGUCUUAUUCUCAUGUGUAGCUGAUUUUUAAAUGCUCUUCAAAUACAUUAAAAAGCAUGUAUCUUUGUUUUAAAAUAUAUUUGAAUACAUUUCCUUUACACUUAAAAAGAUUGUAUGGUGUUGUGCUUUAUAUUUGCAACUAGAGGUUACCAAGUUAAUGUGUAAUCAAUAUUUUAUUACCUACUACCUAUGUGGACACUCUUUCUUUGGGUUACAGCCACAGCAAUUGUUUUCAAGACUUCAAGACUUCUUUUUAUCUACUCACAAGCUGGUUUGACUCUUCAAACAAGUGUGUUGCAUUGAGUGAGACGUUACUAGCAAUGAUUACAGACUAUAAAAUUACCAACAUAGAAACUAUGAAGUCUUCUCAGUAAAGCUAAUCUCAUCAUCUGAGGAUUAGAUAUGCCUAUAAAUUUUCAUCUUUCUGCCUUACCCUACUUCAUCAGUACUUUUGGUCUCAGGGAAAAGCAUGCCCAGGAGGGAAACAAAAAAAGAUAGAAAUCAAUUCUAUACCAUCUCUUCCAGAAAAUAAAAGCAGAGGGAAGCUCUCAAACUCAUCCUGAGGCCAGCAUUGCCUUAAUGAUGAAAUCAGGAAAGAUAUUGCUAAGAAGGAAAAUUACAGACUAUUUUUCUCAUGACCAAGAUGCAAAAAUCCUCAGCAAAAUAUUAACAGAUCAAACCAGCAAGGUAUAAAAGGAAUAAUACACUAAGACUAAAUGGGAUUUAUCUGAAGUAUGCAAGAUUGGUUCAACAUUUAAAAAUCUAUUAAGGAAAUCUACCACAUCAACAGGUUAAGAAGAAAAAUCAUACAUAAUAGAUGGAUAAAAAUGAUCUGACAAAAUCCAAUAUCCAUUCAUGGUAAAAAUCAUCAAAACAUUAGAAAUAAAGAGGAAUUUUCUUAAUUUGAUAAAGAACAUCUACAGAAAACCUAAUCUUACAGUUAAUGGUGAGAAAAUAGAUGCAUUCCCCUUAAGAUGGCGAAUAAGUCAAAGAUGUUUUCUCUCACCUCUGCUAUUUGCCAUCAUACUGAAAGUCCUAGCUAAUGCAAUAAGACAAAAAAAAAAAUGACAUAAAGGGUACAUAGAUUAGGAAGGAAGAAACAGUACUAUCUCUGCCUUGAAGAUAAUCAUUGUCUCUUUAGAAAAUCUUACAGAAUAGACAAAAAAGAACUGAUAGGUGGUUAAAUACUUAGGUAUAACUGUAACAGAAUAUGUAUAAAUAUUUAUUAGUAAAAGUACAAAACUCUGAUGAAUGAAAUCACAGAUCUAACUAACUGAAGAGACAUUCCAUGUUAAUCAAGAGGGCUGACAAUAUUAAGAUGUAAAUUUUUCCAAAUUGAUAUAUAGAUCCAACACAAUACCAACCAGAAUCCCAGCAGGUUAUUUUGUGGAUAUCCACACAUUAAUUCAAAAAUUUAUAUGAAAGGCAAAGGACCCAAAAUGGCCAACACAAUAUUCAAGAAAAUAAAAACAAGAGACUUAACACUACCUGAUUUCAAACAUAAUAUAAAACUAUAAUGAUCAAGAAAAUGUGGUCUUAGCAAAAGAAUUGACAAGUACAUUAAUGGAACAGAACAGAAAGUCCAGAAAUUUACUCAUAUAAAUAGUCUCUGAUCUUUGACUAGGAACAAAGGCAAUUCAAUUGGAAAGCAUAGUAUUUUCAACAAAUGGUGCUGGAACAAUAGGACAACUACAUGCAAAAAAAAAAAAAAAACUACAUACCUUAUACUUUUACACCUUUCACAAGAAUUAGCUCAAAGUGGAUCAAAAGCCUAAGAAUAAAAUGCAAAAAUAUAAAAUUUAUAGAUGGCAAAAUUUGAGAAAAUCCAGAGGAUUUGAGUUUACUAAGUUUACAUCAAAAUCAUGACUCAUGAAAGAUUAAAAUUAACAAAUUGGACUUCAUUAAAAUUUUAAAAUUCUACUCUGUGAAAGACAAUGUUGAGAAAAUGAAAAGAAAAGCACAGCCUGGGAGAAAAUAUUUGCAAAACACAUAUCUGAUAAAGUACCUACAUUUAAAACACUAAGAACUGUUAAAUUUUUAACAAUAAGAAAACAAAAGACUCAAGCAGAAAAUGGCGCAAAGAUCUGAACAGACACCUUGCCAAAGAAAAAUAUAUGAUGACAAGUAAGCAUUAAGAAAAGAUGCUAGACAUCAUAUAUCAUUAGGGAAUUGAAAAUUAAAAUGAGUUACCACAACAGGUCUAUUAGAAUAACCAAAGUCCAAAGCACUGACAACACCAAAUGCUGAUGAAGAUGUGUAGCAACAGGAACUCUCAUCCAUUGCUGUUGGGGAUGCUAAAUGUACAGCUGCAUUUUAGAAGACAGUCUUGCGGUUUCUUACAAAGUCAAACAUAGGCUUAGUAUAUAGUCCAGUGAUCACACCACUUGGUGUUUACCCAAAGGAAAUGAAAACUUAGGUCUACACAAAAACCUGCACGUAAAUGUUUGUAGCAGCUUUAUUCAUUAUGGUCAAAAAUUGGAAACAACAAAAAUGUCCUUCAAUAGGUAAAUGGAUAAACAAAUUGGUAUAUCCAUACAAGGUACAUUAUUCAGCAAUUAAAAGAAAUGAGCUAACAAGUUAUAAAGAGACAUGGAGGAAACUUAAAUGCCUAUUGCUGAGUAAAAUAAGCCAGUCUGAAAAAGCCACAUGCUAUAUUAUUCCAACUUUAUAUGACAUUUUACAAAAGGCAAAACUAUAGAAACAGUAAAAAGAUAAGUGGUUGCCAGGAUUUAAGGUGGAAGGUAGAAGGGAGAAACAUUUUGAUCUUAGGGAAAUUUUAGUGCAGUGAAUUUAUUCUUUGUAACACUGUGGACGAUAUGCUACUAUGCAUUUAUGAAAACCCUGAGAAUUGUGCAAGAUACAGAGUGAACCCUAAUAUAAACUGUAGUCAUUAAAUAAUAGUAUCAAUGUUGCUUUACCGGCUGUGGAAAUAUAUCACAUUAAUGCAAGAAACUAUGGAGGUGAAGGACAUAUAGGAACUCUAUUUUCUGCACCAUAUCUCUGUAUACCUAAAAUUGUUCUAAAAAAUUUAUAUUAAAAAGAGAAAUUUAUUUCCUAAGAUCAGAUGCCCACCUGCACUUAAAAAUUAGCCUAUUGGCCCAGCUUUCUAAAUUGUCCUUGAUAAUCUUGACUUUGUUUCUCUACUGACUUCUCUAGACAUGGAUAUUUUGCUUGAGAGCCCUAGGGACUUUCUAGCCCUUUCCCACGUGGCCAAAUAUUAGUCUUGGUCUUAGAUUCUCCUAUCCAAACUUGUCUGAAUGAUGAAUAGUCAUCUCACUAUAGCUCAAAAUGAUGGUAAGUAAGCAUGGACUAUGAUUUUUCCUUUCUGACACUCACAUUACUGGACACUCAGAGAUGUCACUGAACAUUCAGAAGGGGUCAUUAUUAUCCAGGUCCCUGACCCAGAAAUAGUGAGAUCUGAUAUUUUCUUCCCGAUCCAGGGAUGCACACAAGUUCUCCUCGGCUCCGCUAAAUCUUGAAUUUGUGCCUGAUCUGUCUUGGCCCAGACGUGCAGGCAACAUUACCUAAGAAGUCGCAAGGUGUUCAAGUCAGUCAGGAGUAAGUCAAAGAAAACCAUGCUGGUAUUCAAGAAAUCCUUUCCAAAAUCAGUGUUGCUUUGCACUAACUGCCUGGUCUCUCUUGAGCAAGCUGGUCUAAGUUUCAAGUUCCAAGAUCUCUUUCAGUUGCCAUUUUCCUGCAUCUAGCAGCACACAGAGGGUCAACAUUUUCUGCUCCUGCCCACCACCCAGCUUUACUGAAAUAUUACUCAUGUAACUUUGUAUAUGUUUAAAGUAUACAGUGUGAUGACUUAAUACACAUAUCUAACAGGUACUGAAGAGGUACUAAACAUCAGGAAUUGUCAGGGGAAUGCAAAUCAAAACCACAAUGAGAUAUCUUCUUACACCUGUUAGAAUGACUAUUUUCAGAAAGAUAAGAGCUAACAAACACUGGUGAGGAUGAACAGAAAAGGGAACCCUGGUACACUUUUGGUAUGAAGUACAGCCAUUAUGGAAAACAAUAUGGAGUUUCCUCAAAAAAUUAAAAAUAGAACUCCCUUAUAAUCCAGCAGUUCCACUUAGGGUAUAUAUCUGAAGGUGAAAUUAUUACUUCAAAGAGAUAUCUACACACUCAUGUUCAUUGAAGCUUUAUUCAUAAUAACCAAGAUGUGAACACAAUCUAAGUAUCCAACAGUGGAUGAGCAAAUAAAGGAAAUGUGAUGGGUGUAUAAUAAUAAUUAUAUAUGUAAUAAUAAUAAAAAUGUAUAUAUAUUAGCCAUAAAAAUAGGAGACCCUGACAUUUGCAACAAUAUGGAUGGACUUUCAAGGUAAAUUCAAGCAUUUUUGGAAAGCAUUUACCCUAUUAGCCCCACAUACAAUUCCUUAUUCUAGCUUGGAUCGGUGAGCUUUCAUAAAAAACAUCUUAUCAUCCAGUCUUUUCAGAAGCUUGCCCAGUGGAGUUCAGGCAAGACUAGUGUUACUUCACUGCUUAUAUAGAGACCAGCUCAGCCUUCACUGAGAGUCUGUCUGCCCAUUUAAUGCUACGUGUGACUUCAAUUUAAACACAUUUGUACACCACAUCCUUUUAGAAAGGAUUUAAGUCAGUUUCUAAAAUGACUAAUAUAAAAGAAGUAGUAAAGGACAAAAACAUAGCUAAGGAGAGACAAAAAAAAGUACCAGUAAGAAAAGCUCAAUAUGGUUUGUGGGAUGGAGCAUAAAAAUUAUGUAAGCCUCCUGGUAGCCAAGUCAAGUUGGUGUACAAUAUUAGAAUGCAUACAAUUUCCUUAGGGAAACCAAAAGUUUUUCAAGUCCCAAACUUUGAAAGAAAUAUCUGAUGUUAAGGUACAUUGCAGCAGAUAUUGAAUGGUAUAAUGUACUACAUCCUCCACAGAAAUUUCAUAGUUAAUGCAAAAGUUAUGCAAGGGUUUGUCUAUAACUACCUUACAAAAACUAAAGACAUUAUCAAUUCAUCGAAUUCUGUUUCGAGGGGAAAAAGUCUCCAUGAUUUAGCUCUCUUUUCUCAGAUUUUUCUAGGAAAACUAGAAGUAGUAAGAGAUGAUAUAAGACUUGAAUUCUUCCAGCCAUUUGAGCUUCUGACUAUAAGCAGCUACGAGAUAAUCUAAGAUAAAAAAUUUCCCCC